rnacentral:rRNA from 1 species
AUUGAACGCUGGCGGCAGGCCUAACACAUGCAAGUCGAGCGGAUGAAGGGAGCUUGCUCCUGGAUUCAGCGGCGGACGGGUGAGUAAUGCCUAGGAAUCUGCCUGGUAGUGGGGGAUAACGUCCGGAAACGGGCGCUAAUACCGCAUACGUCCUGAGGGAGAAAGUGGGGGAUCUUCGGACCUCACGCUAUCAGAUGAGCCUAGGUCGGAUUAGCUAGUUGGUGGGGUAAAGGCCUACCAAGGCGACGAUCCGUAACUGGUCUGAGAGGAUGAUCAGUCACAAUGGAACUGAGACACGGUCCAGACUCCUACGGGAGGCAGAAGUGGGGAAUAUUGGACAAUGGGCGAAAGCCUGAUCCAGCCAUGCCGCGUGUGUGAAGAAGGUCUUCGGAUUGUAAAGCACUUUAAGUUGGGAGGAAGGGCAGUAAGUUAAUACCUUGCUGUUUUGACGUUACCAACAGAAUAAGCAACGGCUAACUUCGUG